GGAACUGCCUUCAAAACUACAUUUCUUGAGUUUGGUAGAGGAGAGUGGAAUUCCUAGUGUAGAGGUGAAAUUCGUAGAUAUUAGGAGGAACACCAGUGGCGAAGGCGACUCUCUGGGCCAAUACUGACGCUGAGGUUCGAAAGCAUGGGUAGCGAACAGGAUUAGAUACCCUGGUAGUCCAUGCAGUAAACGAUGAGUGCUAGAUGUUGGGAAUUUAGAUUUCCAGUAUCGCAGUUAACGCGUUAAGCACUCCGCCUGGGAAGUACGGCCGCAAGGCUAAAACUCAAAUGAAUUGACGGGGACCCGCACAAGCGGUGGAUCAUGUGGUUUAAUUCGAAGAUACGCGAAGAACCUUACCGGCCCUUGACAUACCAAUCGCAGACUUAAGAGAUUAAGUCUUUCACUUCGGGUGGAUUGGAUACAGGUGCUGCAUGGCUGUCGUCAGCUCGUGUCGUGAGAUGUUGGGUUAAGUCCCGCAACGAGCGCAACCCUUACCUUCAAUUGCCAGCACAUUAUGGUGGGAACUUUGAAGGAACUGCCGGUGAUAAGCCGGAGGAAGGUGGGGAUGACGUCAAGUCCUCAUGGCCCUUACGGGCCGGGCUACACACGUGAUACAAUGGUGACUACAAAGGGCAGCGAAGGAGCAAUCUGGAGCAAAUCUCAAAAAGUUACCUCAGUUCGGAUUGUACUCUGCAACUCGAGUGCAUGAAGUUGGAAUCGCUAGUAAUCGUAGAUCAGCGCGCUACGGUGAAUACGUUCCCGGGUCUUGUACACACCGCCCGUCACACCAUGGGAGUUGGUUUUACCUGAAGCUGGUUCGCUAACCGUAAGGAGGCAGCCAACCACGGUAAGAUUAGCGACUGGGGUGAAGUCGUAACAAGGUAACCGUA
rnacentral:rRNA from 1 species